rnacentral:tRNA from 1 species
AGAAUCUUAGGUUAAGCAUAAAACCGGAAGCCUUCAAAGCUUUAAAUGGAAAAUAUAUUUCAGGUUCUG